rnacentral:rRNA from 1 species
UACGAAGGGGGCUAGCGUUGCUCGGAAUCACUGGGCGUAAAGGGUGCGUAGGCGGAUUUCUAAGUCAGGGGUGAAAGCCUGAGGCUCAACCUCAGAACUGCCUUUGAUACUGGAAGUCUUGAGACCGGAAGAGGUAAGUGGAACUGCGAGUGUAGAGGUGAAAUUCGUAGAUAUUCGCAAGAACACCAGUGGCGAAGGCGGCUACCUGGACCAGCACUGACACUGAGGCACGAAAGCGUGGGGAGCGAACGGG